UUAAGAAACCGUGCAGCUUGUUCCAGACAAACAGGGUUAAACUGUAAAGUGCAGCCGAGCUAAUGACAGAGCAACAGCCUCCAGAUGAUUCAGCAUUUAUGAUUAUUUAUAGAGGCUUCAGUCUACUUCAGACUAAGUGCCUGUGGGAUCAUCUAACAGCGUCUGAAACCUCCCUCUCCGACAGCUGCAAUCUUUGUCACUUCGAGGAGAGACUGUGCGCCGUUAUCCCCAUUUGUAUCAUUCAGGAGUACAAAGACAAAGAGUAGUUGGACAGAGCUCAGGAUGCCGGUGGGAUGCAGCCAGGAGGAGUCCGCAAGUCUUUUCACUCUGCUUUUCAGUGAUGACGACAUCAGCUCCUCACCUGUCUCCCUGUCGGUGGGCGUGGCCCGGCUGAUGGGGAGGACUAAUGACAGAGACAGGAAAUGUCUCCUUUGGAUGCUCUGACUGGCGAGCAUGAGGAAGAGGAUGGCAGCGAUCACCAGGGCAACGCACAGCUUCCUCCUCAACAACAUGGCUGGACGGACGAUGAGCGAGCGGUGGCGGGACGUGAUGAGCUGUUAUCCGUUCAGCCUGCUAUGUCAGCAUAUUUGGAAUGUGACGUCUGUUGUCAUCUGGACAUUUUCCCCUGUUCUGUCAUCUCUCCACUCAGCUUUAUCUCCAUGAAGCCUGAGUGUGAAACAAAACCUCCUGUGCUGUGAACCACGCUGCUUCCGAUUGAUGGAGACUGGAUUUGUGGUCACACCUG